rnacentral:tRNA from 1 species
UGUAUAAGGGACAGGUGGUAGAGCUAUCGGCUGUUAACCGAUCGGUCGUAGGUUCGAGUCCUACCUGUGGAGCCA